UAUUUAUGUGUAAUGUAGUAUCAGAAAUGCAGUCUAUAUUUAAUAAAUGUUUGCUGAUAUAUGAAUGUCAACCUGAUGACGUCUUCAUUUACCUAUAACAUCUAUAAUCUAGCACCUUUGUUAAUGGGUGUUGAAACCCAAGUCCCACCCACUGAGGAGCCAACUGCAUUGAACAAGAAGAUGGCCAUGAACUGAUUGGCCAAACCUACUCUUAUCUGAGCUUCCAAGUUAAAGAUGUGGUCUGUCAGAUGUUUACAUGUGCUCAGCAGCAUUGACAAAAGCCUUAGCCCCUGGCACCUGUGUAUUCUCAACUUUGCCUUUGCCAGCCUCUGCCACGUCAUUCCACUGCCACUCGCCACUGGACCAAUUGCUUUUAUUACCUUAAUCAGGAAAGCUGGGUCAUCUGAGAGGGUCAUGAAAUGGACCCUUUCCUCAUCAGAGGCCUCAGAGCCUGAACAUGUGCAGCUUAGUUCCUGUCCCUCUGGAGACAAUCUUAUGAGAAUAAACGUUUCCAUAGCAGGAGAGAGACUGUUAUUUUUUUCCAUAUUGGCCUC